rnacentral:misc_RNA from 1 species
GGAAGUAAAAGUCGUAACAGGGUUUCCGUAGGUGAACCUGCGGAAGGAUCAUUCAUAAUAAGUGUUUUAUGGCACUUUUUAAAUCCAUAUCCACCUUGUGUGCAAUGUCAGUCGUUCUCUUCUAUGGGAACGACCAAACAUCAACCAACUCUUUAACUCUUUGUCUGAAAAAUAUUACGAAUAAAACAAUUCAAAAUACAACUUUCAACAACGGAUCUCUAGGCUCUC